rnacentral:rRNA from 1 species
CACGUAGGGGGCGAGCGUUGUCCGGAUUUAUUGGGCGUAAAGAGCUCGUAGGCGGUUUGGCAAGUCGGGUGUGAAAUUUCGAGGCUCAACCUCGAAACGCCACUCGAUACUGCCAUGACUGGAGUCCGGUAGAGGAGUGCGGAAUUCCUGGUGUAGCGGUGAAAUGCGCAGAUAUCAGGAGGAACACCAACGGCGAAGGCAGCACUCUGGGCCGGUACUGACGCUGAGGAGCGAAAGUGUGGGGAGCGAACAGG